GGAUGCAAAAGUCGUAACACGGUUUCCGUAGGUGAACCUGCGGAAGGAUCAUUCACACAUUGCGUUGCGAAGCGGUUUCAAUAUCUAUAAACGAUCAGAAAGCCUUUUCGAAGGUUUUUUGCAUGCGGUUAUGAUGGUGGGACAGCUGCCGACAACAGCAUCUGAACCGGUCUGAUGAAAUCAUUGAAUCCUCCUUGGUUUCCCAACAAUGCUUUUUUUGAAAAAAAAUCGAAAUACAAAAAUAGCCUUUUCGUGGAAAAAAUAGAUCUGAAAGCCGUUCGAUGGUUCGAUGAUCUGUUUCAUGCACGGGGGGGUGUGGGGGGCAUGCGGGGAGUGGGACCAUUGGGACUGCAUGCAUGCAGCCACGGGCCUGUGAGUGCAUGCAAGGGUGCAUGCAUGGGUGGCUGCAUGCAUGCAUGCAUGCAUGCAUGCAGUGACUGUGGGCUCGUGCGGGGUCGCAGGCGCAUGCAUGCAUGCAUGCAUCCGUGCAUGCAUGCCUGCACGUGUAUCCGUGCACAACUACAUGCAUUGAAAUACCGGGUCCCACCUUCUGUUUUAUGCCAAAUGGAAAGAUUUUUGUCUUUUAAAACUUUCAGCAAUGGAUGUCUUGGCUCACGCAUCGAUGAAGGACGCAGCGAAAUGCGAUACGCAUUGUGAAUUGCAGAUUUUAGUGAACCAUCAGAUUUCUGAACGCAUAUGGCGCUGCUGGGAUAUCCCAGCAGCACGUCUGUUUCAGUGUCUUUUGAUCCUUUCAAAAACUAUGCUAUAACAUACAGUGUAUGCUGUGUGAUCUAUUUAUGUAUAUCACAUAUUUAAGGGUGCAGCAUACUCUGUGGGGUUAUAGUUUCUUUUGUGCGUUGCAAAAAUGGGAGUCUUAUUGAUGGAUUCCUUAUGCAUCGUGCAAAGUUUUUAAAGGGGAUUGGUUGCACACAUAGUGAGCAUUUGAAAUAUCCCUCAUUAUCCUUUCGUUCAUGAAAGAGAUAUGGUGUGGUUGCUUUUGUAAUUGCAGCUACUAUAUAUAUCUCGUUGAAAUGUGGACGGGAAUGCACAGAUGAGGAAGACGAUAUUAUAAUAUCUAAAUCUUCGUUUGUGCAGGAUUAUAAUGAGUGAUGUUUUUUCUACUCGAAUUGCAAGGUGUGUAAUGUAUGUGAUCUCCUUUUAAAUAAAUGAUUUGUCCUAGACCUGAAAUCAGACGAGGUUACCCGCUGAAUUUAAGCAUAUUAUUAAGCGGAGGA
rnacentral:sRNA from 1 species